GACGAACGCUGGCGGCGUGCUUAACACAUGCAAGUCGAACGGUAAGGCCCUUCGGGGUACACGAGUGGCGAACGGGUGAGUAACACGUGGGUGAUCUGCCCUGCACUUCGGGAUAAGCCUGGGAAACUGGGUCUAAUACCGGAUAGGACCACUGCCUGCAUGGGUGGUGGUGGAAAGCUUUUGCGGUGUGGGAUGGGCCCGCGGCCUAUGAGCUUGUUGGUGGGGUGAUGGCCUACCAAGGCGACGACGGGUAGCCGGCCUGAGUGGGUGACCGGCCACACUGGGACUGAGAUACGGCCCAGACUCCGACGGGAGGCAGCAGUGGGGAAUAUUGCACAAUGGGCGCAAGCCUGAUGCAGCGACGCCGCGUGAGGGAUGACGGCCUUCGGGUUGUAAACCUCUUUCAGCACCGACGAAGCGCAAGUGACGGUAGGUGCAGAAGAAGGACCGGCCAACUACGUGCCAGCCGCCGCGGUAA
rnacentral:rRNA from 1 species